GGGCAAUAUGCAUUUAAAAUAUGAAUAUUGUAGAAAAUGAAAAAAGUCUUUAAAUAAAAAUAUAGAUUCAAAAUGCAAAGCCAAAAACAGAUGAAAAUCAUUCCAUGUCAUCUUUAGAUGCUAUUGAUUCUAAGGCUAAUUAGUAACAUAAGUCAGAAAUCAACUAUGUCCACACAGCCUUCACAUUGUGCAUAUUCUUAUCUACUGAAUUCAGCUUUUUACAACAUUACUUUCAGACACCUUUCAUUUCAUACACUGAUCCUUUAUUUCUCCAAUUCACACACUUUUUUCAUUUGUUUUUAUUCCAUCAUCCAUUCAACAGAUUCAUCCAUGAUCAUCAGAUAGUGAUUUGAUCCAGUCUCUACACCUCAUUACUGGCAUGCCCAUAAUCUUUCCCUACAAUCUCUGAUAACACACAACUACCAUAUAUACUCGAAUAUAAGCCGAUCCGUGUAUAAGCCGACCCCCCGAC
rnacentral:lncRNA from 1 species